rnacentral:sRNA from 1 species
AGUGGGAAAAUCGCAAGGAAGCCGGCGCUGCUCUGAAGGGAGAGUCUGUGCAGUGGCACCUGCGCGAAGCUGGCGAAAGCCUGCCCAGACUGCUCACCUGUGCGGGAUGGAACAAAAGGUGAGCCCAGGGGGCCUGAUAAAAUGACCUCAGUAGCCGCCUGUGGGAAGGGACCCUGAGGAAAGCACCACAGUGACUACCAAGCCUGGAUGGUUUUACUGCUUACUUUGUUAUUUUAUUUUAUUUAUUUUAGAGACGGAGUCUUGCUCUAUCACCCA